rnacentral:rRNA from 1 species
GACGAACGCUGGCGGCGUGCUUAACACAUGCAAGUCGAACGGAAAGGCCCUGCUUUUGUGGGGUGCUCGAGUGGCGAACGGGUGAGUAACACGUGAGUAACCUGCCCUUGACUUUGGGAUAACUUCAGGAAACUGGGGCUAAUACCGGAUAGGAGCUCCUGCUGCAUGGUGGGGGUUGGAAAGUUUCGGCGGUUGGGGAUGGACUCGCGGCUUAUCAGCUUGUUGGUGGGGUAGUGGCUUACCAAGGCUUUGACGGGUAGCCGGCCUGAGAGGGUGACCGGCGACAUUGGGACUGAGAUACGGCCCAGACUGCUACGGGAGGCAGCAGUGGGGAAUAUUGCAGAAUGGGCGGAAGCCUGAUACAGCAACGCCGCGUGCGGGAUGACGGCCUUCGGGUUGUAAACCGAUUUCGCCUGAGACGAAGCGUGAGUGACGGUAAUGGGUAAAGAAGCACCGGCUAACUACGUG